GGACUGCCAGCAUACACCACCACACCCAGCUACUUUUUGUAUUUUUGUAUAGUGAGGGUUUUGUUGUGUUGGCCAGGUUGGUCUUGAAUUUCUGGACUUAAUCCUCUGAUGUUGGCCUUCCAAAGUGCUGGGAUUACAGGAAUGAGCCACCAGUACAUGGCCUCGUUCAUUUUAAAUUUGUGAAAUUUUAUAACGUGUCACAGCCAGGAAGAAUAGAGAAAAGAAAUGAAAGUACCUGUAGAUCCAGUGUCUCCAUAGCCUGACCAUAUCAGGGUUAUCUCUUAAGAUCUUACAUAGUUUUGUUUUUGGGGGGUCCUUUUGACCAGUUUCCUGGACUGAGAGAGGUCAGAAUCUCUUGGGCUCUUCUUCUUCAGGUCAGUCUUCUGUUUACAUUUUUGUUCACAGUACUUAAUUUCUCACCCUUAGAUUUAGCCUAAGCAUUAAUUAAUAUUACAACAAAUUCAGAAAUAGAUUUUUAAAUUUUUUUAUUAAGAGACAAUCUCUGUUGCUCUGGCUGGAGUACAGUGGCACAGUCCUAGCUCACUGCAGCCUAGGAUUCCUGGGCUCAAGCAGUCCUCCCACGUCAGCCCCCUAAGUAGCUGAGACUAUAGGUGCAUACCACCAUGCCCAGCUACAACAAUUACAAUUAAUAACUGAGGAGCUACUGUGGGCCCAGUCCUCCCAUUGAUAGCAUGUAUAAACUGGGGAUGAAAAUACAAGAACUACCUGAAGACACUAGAGAGUAAGCUAAGGGCAGGUGGAUACCCGGGAGGUGGGUAUUUCAGAAGAAGAGAAUUGCACUGGGGAAAUUUCUUAUUUCUGAUGGCCGUUAGCCUUGUGGCCAUUUCCCAGUUUUCUCCAUGCUGGGCAGCUAAAGCUGGAAUAGGCAGUCCUCAGGGCAGGCAUGACGAAGAGAAAUCCUAGAAAGGGAGAGGGCCAGUGGGGGUUGGGGGAGGCCCACUUUUAACCUGCCCCAAAGUCUGGCUGACCCCUGAACCACACGUCCAGCUAAGGCUAAAAGUUGAACUGAGAUUUUAGCUGCUGCUUACCGUGUGAGAGAAGUUUGUAGUUUGACUAUAACCAAGCUAACUGCACCGUAAGGGGAGUGGGGGGCACUUCUCUUUGGUGGAACAUAACAGAAUUCUGAGUUUCUAUAGCCUAUUAUUUGCAGUGUCUAUCUGGAUAACAGGAAAAUGUGACCUAUACUCAAGAAAAAAGAAAUAAAAAUCAACGAAUGGUUCUAAAAUGACCCAGUUAUUGGGAUUAAUAGAGAAGGAUUAUACAGCAGCUCUUUAAAAAUACUCAGGUGUUGUGGCGGGCGUCUGUAAUCUUAGGUGCUUGGGAGGCUAAGGCAGGAGAAUCACUUGAACCUGGGAGGUGGAGGUUGCAGUGAGCCAAGAUCACGCCAGUGCACUCCAGCUUGGGUGACAGAGUGAGACUCUGCCUC